GGUAAUGUGGACCCGUAUGAAAUAAGGUAGCGGAGUGGAAACCCAGACGACCUACCACCUUUUCCUAUCCCGAUCUUCGCAUACCUUGUCUGUGGAGUCAGCGCAUACACAGCAACCCAGUUUAAGAAUUAUAAAUCCCUGGAGGCCCACAUCCAAUUCACGAACGGCUGGGUGCAAGAUUUGUCCAUCUUUAAGCCUCCACGCUGCGAGUACGUUGUCGUUAAGACAAAGGUACAGCACUCACAACGACUGAAUGAAACUGCACUCCAACCAGUGUGACCUCGUUGUGUGGACACAGAGAGACCUUGCUUUGAUACGCAUCUUCCCUGAUGUGGAUUUCUGGGAACCACGUUUAAAGCAAGAACAAGACUUCUUUCUUAAAGUGUGUCUUCCUGAACUUGUUGGGAAAUACUUCUCCAAACAACGUGCUACUCUAAAUAGCCUGUAAUGUUUCAUUUUGUGGUUCAAGAUUGAUGCCAGCUGUGUGUUGCCAUGUAAAUAGUUUGCAUUUCGUUUUUAUGUACUUGUGAACAGAUCAAGAAUAAAAAAACAAACAAAGA